rnacentral:rRNA from 1 species
AGGAUUAACGCUGGCGGCGUGCAUGAAACAUGCAAGUCGAGCGCGGUGUGAUGCGGGGUAACCCAAUUCACAUCUAGCGGCGAACGGGUGAGUAACACGUGAGCAACCUACCUUUGAGUUGGGGAUAGCCCUGGGAAACCAGGAUUAAUACCCGAUGUGGUCACAACAGGACAUCCUGAUGUGAGUAAAGGCGCAAGCCGCUCAAUGACGGGCUCGCGGCCUAUUAGCUUGUUGGUGGGGUAACGGCCUACCAAGGCGAUGAUGGGUAGCUGGUCUGAGAGGACGAUCAGCCACACUGGGACUGAGACACGGCCCAGACUCCUACGGGAGGCAGCAGUUAGGAAUUUUCCGCAAUGGGCGAAAGCCUGACGGAGCAACGCCGCGUGAGUGAUGAAGACCGUUAGGGUUGUAAAGCUCUAUCGGAGGGAAGAACACAAUGACGGUACCCUCCAAGAAGCCCCGGCUAACUACGCGCCAGCAGCCGCGGUAAU